CCCUUAGAUGCUCUGGGCCGCACGCGCGCUACACUGGUCGAUGCAACGAGUUUCUUCCCUUGGCCGACAGGCCUGGGCAAUCUUUGAACAUCGAUCGUGAUCGGGAUAGAUUCUUGUAAUUUUUGAUCUUAAACGAGGAAUUCCUAGUAAACGCAAGUCAUCAGCUUGCAUUGAUUACGUCCCUGCCCUUUGUACACACCGCCCGUCGCACCUACCGAUUGAAUGGUCCGGUGAAAUCUCCGGACUGGCGUGAGUCGGAGCAAUCUGACAAACACCGGAAAGUUGAUUAAACCUUACCAUUUAGAGGAAGGUGAAGUCGUAACA
rnacentral:rRNA from 1 species